rnacentral:rRNA from 1 species
AAAAUACGGGAUCCCGUCCGCUCUCCCAUAGUCAAGCCACUAACCGGCGGAUUAGUAGUUGGGUCGGUGACGACCAGCGAAUCCCCGCUGUUGUAUGUU